UUUUAAGUGGCUGCUUCUUGUCGGGCGUCUUAUUUGUGUCAAGCAGGAGUGCCUGAGUUUGGGCUUCAUACCCCUCAUCUCCUCCAUCGCUGAAACCUUGGUUCUACUAAUUGGUUACUAAAAGUAAACGAUGGACGUAUGAGUUUUUCUUCUGGUGAACGAAGGCUGUCGUCAGUUUCACUGAGGCAAGUUUUAUUUGUGAGUGUUUGUGAAAUUGUUUAGGACGGGGGCUGUUUCAUUUGAUUAGCCUGUUAGUGGAGAACACCUGGAGUGGUGUGGAGUGUGUUGUGGUCACAUGUGCUGUGCAGUGUUGAAGUCUUUCCCCUUCCCAAGUUUUGCCU